UUCCCGAAAACAUAAAGUUUUGGUCCUAAACUUGCCAUUGUUUUUUAUCAAAAUUAUACAUGCAAGCCUCCACAAACCAGUGAGAAUGCCCACAUACCCUAAACAGCCAACCGGAGCAGGCAUCAGGAUGCAAUCAAUAUUUAGCCAAGGACGCCUUGCAUACGCCACACCCACACGGGCUUUCAGCAGUAAUUAAUAUUAAACAUGAGCGAAAGCUCGAUUUAGUUAUGAUCAACAUGGUCGGUAAAUUUCGUGCCAGCCACCGCGGUUAUACGAAAGACCAAAGACAACAGCCCACGGCGUAAAGGGUGACUAGAGAUGGAUCAAAUAAUUAAAGGGGCACAGCUGCCAAGUCGUAAAACACCACUGCACAUUAGAACCACAACAAAAUGCCUUUAAAUCCACUUUACCUCACGAAAGCUAAGAAACAAACUGGGAUUAGAUACCCCACUAUGCUUAGCCCUAAACAUAGAUAGUACAAAUACAAACUAUCCGCCAGAGAACUACAAGCGAAAGCUCGAAACUCCAAGGACUUGGCGGUGCUUCAAAUCAACCUAGAGGAGCCUGUCCUAUAAUCGAUACUCCCCGUUUUACCUUACCACUUCUAGCCAACCAGCCUAUAUACCGCCGUCGACAGCCUACCUUAUGAAAGAAAUAAAGUAAGCAAAAUAGUUAGUAACUAAUACGUCAGGUCAAGGUGUAGCACACGAAGUGGUAGAGAUGGGCUACAUUUUUUCAAAGUAAAAACACAAAUAGUAGACUGAAACACAUACUUGAAGGCGGAUUUAGUAGUAAGACAAGAAAUUAUACUCGUCUUAAACCUGCUCUGAAGCGCGCACACACCGCCCGUCACCCUCAUCACACACUACACUACACAAAAUAUAACACUA
rnacentral:ncRNA from 1 species